rnacentral:rRNA from 1 species
UUCUGGGAGGAUUAACAGAUUGAGAGCUCUUUCUUGAUUCCGUGGAUGGUGGUGCAUGCCCAUUCUUAGUUGGUGGAGCGAUUUGUCUGGUUAAUUCCGUUAACGAAAGAGACUCUAGCCUAUUAGAUAUGCGCGUGGUUCUCCGCGCCUUGCACCCUUCUUAGAGAGACAAGCGGCUCCUAGCCGCAUAACAGGUCUGUGAUGCCCUUAGAU